GAGGAGCCUGCGGCAGAUUAGCUAGUUGGUGAGGUAAUGGCUCACCAAGGCUUCGAUCUGUAGCUGGUCUGAGAGGACGGCCAGCCACACUGGCACUGACACACGGGCCAGACUCCUACGGGAGGCAGCAGUGGGGAAUUUUGGGCAAUGGGCGCAAGCCUGACCCAGCAACGCCGCGUGAGGGAGGAAAUCCUUCGGGAUGUAAACCUCACAAGCAAGGGAAGAGCGCUUCCGGUUGAAUAAAUCGGAAGUUCGACGGUACCUUGCGUAAGCCACGGCUAACUACGUGCCAGCAGCCGCGGUAAUACGUAGGUGGCAAGCGUUGUUCGGAAUUAUUGGGCGUAAAGGGCGCGUAGGCGGCUUGUUAAGUCGGCUGUGAAAGCCCGGGGCUCAACCCCGGAGGGUCGGCCGAUACUGGCGAGCUAGAGUACGGAAGAGGUAGCUGGAAUUCCCGGUGUAGCGGUGAAAUGCGUAGAUAUCGGGAGG
rnacentral:rRNA from 1 species